UGGGGAAUUUUGCGCAAUGGGGGGAACCCUGACGCAGCAACGCCGCGUGAGUGAAGACGCCCUUCGGGGUGUAAAGCUCUGUUGCCCGGGACGAGGGCCUGUGAGGUGAAGAGCCUCGUGGGAGGACGGUACCGGGUGAGGAAGCCCCGGCUAACUCCGUGCCAGCAGCCGCGGUAAGACGGAGGGGGCGAGCGUUGUUCGGAAUUACUGGGCGUAAAGCGCGCGUAGGCGGCGCAUCAAGUGUAGCGUGAAAGCCCCCGGCUUAACCGGGGAAGGGCGGUGCAAACUGAUGGGCUAGAGUGUCGGAGGGGGAUACGGAAUUCCUGGUGGAGCGGUGAAAUGCGUAGAGAUCAGGAAGAACGUAGGUGGCGAAGGCGGUAUCCUGGACGAACACUGACGCUGAGGAGCGAGAGCGUGGGGAGCGAACG
rnacentral:rRNA from 1 species